GACGAACGCUGGCGGCGUGCUUAGCACAUGCAAGUCGAACGGUAAGGCCCUUCGGGGUACACGAGUGGCGAACGGGUGAGUAACACAUGGGUGAUCUGCCCUGCACUUCGGGAUAAGCCUGGGAAACUGGGUCUAAUACCGGAUAGGACCACUGCCUGCAUGGGUGGUGGUGGAAAGCUUUUGCGGUGUGGGAUGGGCCCGCGGCCUAUCAGCUUGUUGGUGGGGUGAUGGCCUACCAAGGCGACGACGGGUAGCCGGCCUGAGAGGGUGACCGGCCACACUGGGACUGAGAUACGGCCCAGACUCCUACGGGAGGCAGCAGUGGGGAAUAUUGCACAAUGGGCGCAAGCCUGAUGCAGCGACGCCGCGUGAGGGAUGACGGCCUUCGGGUUGUAAACCUCUUUCAGCACCGACGAAGCGCAAGUGACGGUAGGUGCAGAAGAAGGACCGGCCAACUACGUGCCAGCCGCCGCGGUAA
rnacentral:rRNA from 1 species